AAAAUUUCUCUGACCCCCUUAUGUCUUUUUCAGAGUAGAUUUUUGCUGCAAAACCAGUACUCAAAGAGGGGAUGUGGCCUCAGCAUUACCUUAGGGGCAUUUCUCCUUCCCCACCCAGUUCAGCUGCUGUGUUUUUCGUCAAGAGUGGUGAUGCACACAGGGUAUCAAUCACAGGGGCUCUCAUGAACUUCCCAAUCAUAAACCAGGUAUGACAUUGUGGCCAAAACCUUUGAGGCAGAAAUCCUCCCAGAAGAAAAACAAAUUGACCCACGGUGAAGAUAUCCACAGAGUGAAGCAGAAAAAUAAAUAGUGCUCCCAAGAGGAAGCUCAUCAUUAUCACAUCCUCACUCCUUUGAUGGGGAAACUGAGGCAAUGUGUUUUAAGGACAAAGAAUGGAGUCUUUGCCAAACCACCCAGGUUUGUGUCCAAUUCACUCUGGAUUUGAACCGCUUCACAUUCCUUGAAAAUCUGCUUUGAAUGCUGUCAAA